CCCUUAGAUGUUCUGGGCCGCACGCGCGCUACACUGACGAUGGCAACGAGUUUUUCCUUCGCCGAAAGGUGUGGGUAAUCUUUUGAAACAUCGUCGUGCUGGGAUAGAUCAUUGCAAUUUUUGAUCUUGAACGAGGAAUUCCUAGUAAGCGCGAGUCAUCAGCUCGCGUUGAUUACGUCCCUGCCCUUUGUACACACCGCCCGUCGCUACUACCGAUUGAAUGGUUUAGUGAGGACUCCUGAUUGGCGCCGCCGCCCCGGCAACGGAGCAGCGGACUGCCGAAAAGUUGUUCAAACUUGAUCAUUUAGAGGAAGUAAAAGUCGUAACA
rnacentral:rRNA from 1 species